AAGAAAGAAAGUCAGUUAUGUUCAGAAGAAUAAUCCCUUCAUUAAAUAAAAUAUCACAAUGGUGGCUCCACAGUAAAACAAACACUGUAACUUUGUUUAAUAUGGGCCGUUUAUAUGUCACUCAACCAAACAACUGAGAGAAAAUUAACAAAAAGGGAGUUUUCUGCUGUAUUUGGAACAGCCAAUGACUGCACACAUAAUCCCAGCCUUCCUAGACAACAGAAACAACUCCCACCUCUUGCUGCUGACUUUCAAAAGCCCGCUUCGCACACAACACCUAUGGUUGCCUGAUGAAGAACUGUCACCGCAGUAAUGGCGGUGGUUCAACUUAGUUUCGGCUUGUAGUGGAAACGCGGCUAUCGUCAAAUCAGAAGUCUCAUGUCUUAUACAGUAAGAUGAAGUGAGUGGGAAAGCAUUAGUAAAAGUUAAAAGCAGUAGCCUGUGUUUUCUCCUCACUGCCCCCCUUUACGCGAUGAUGUCACAUGUCAGCCCCUUUGACAGCGUCAUCUCUGCUUUCCACUGUGUGCAGCGGAACAAAGCAGAGAUGGCAGAGGAACUUAUCGUUAAAAAGAAACUGCACAGUGUUGUGGAAUAAUUUGGAAAACUGUCACACUGAGCGAAUCCUAUCUCAGAGAAUGCCAGUCACAUACACGCACACACGCACGCACACACACACACACACACACAUGUACAUGCACAUGGACACACACACGCAAACACACAUGCAAACACACACACACACACACACACACACACACACACACACACACACACACACACACACACACACACUCACACACCAACACACCGGGAGAUCCAUGUCUUCCACUUCCGCUACACAUGAGGAAGGUCGAAUCAGAGACGUCCAAUCCAGUUUUAUUUUUAAACGGUGUGAGUCCUCUGCUCCGAAUCACCCAAUCUUUGGUGCAACUACCUCAGUCUCCUUUUAGUCUCCUCCUUCCCUCCUUUUAUCCCUCUCCUCCCCAUCCUGCCACAGAGCAUCAUCAGGUUGCCAUAGAAACAAACUGCCUGUGAGAGAGAAAGAUCAGAUUGUUAUAGACUAUGGGAUCCAGAUGCUGAAGGGCAGGAUUCAAAUGUUUUUUAUUCACCUGUCUUUCUGUGAACACAGGAAGGGAACUCUUGACAGGAAAGCUUGGUCUCCGGAGCAGAACAACCACCGUAACGUGAGUGAAGUUCUAGUGGAGUUCUAACAAUCCACUGCACACUUUUUGAACACAUAACACCCUGUGCUUCAAAUUGCUAAAAAUAAACCCAAAUCUGAUCAGAUAUGCAAAAAGAUCUUUCCUGAGACGUAAACAUGAAGCCUCCAGCAGGCAGUUUAGCUGAACUUGCCUGCAUGCUGCAGAAUUAAUGGAUGUGACAGACAUGGCAGCUAUUGGUCUACUGAAAGCCCACAGUCAGGAAAAUCAAGAGUGCCUUAUUUAUGGGUGGGAAAUCGAAGUGGGAAAAGUGCAUUGCAGUGAGUUCAAGUUUAGAGACAGGAGCACCAAAUACAUCAAGCGAGUUGUUUUGUUUGAUAAAGAUCAAAGAGAAUUGUUGGGAGAAUGAAGUGUGUUUACAAGUCCCUGAAUCCAGGCUGCCUCUCUCUGCCCCAAUUAUUAGUGGGAGGUUAUGCGUGUAUAUGAGCAUAUUUGUGUUUGCUCUGUGGGCCCAUAGGGCUGCAAUAAGCUAAAGUGACAGUGGGGAUCUUUAAGAUGUGCUUUAGCAUUUACUACAGAGGGUAGAUCUUAUCUCUAAGAGAUCCCCAAGCGCCAAACUUUCUUUCCACUUUCUGAUUCAUCAGGAAGUGAUAAAAAAAGCAGUUCACCCGUCACAUUUUUGUCAUUUUAAAUUUAAUUUUAAAUAAUUUUUUCAUGAAGCGCCUCAUGACGUGCUAAAUAAAAGAUAAAUUCCUUUUUUUCUUUUUUUCACUGGGGGUGGAUCCAAAACACAGCAAAUCCUCAUUAACUCCCAUGUAAAAUCAAGCCUAUGCUGUCGACAGCCCACCUGGAGCGGGUACUCCAUGUUUUUGUAAUUUCUAGGCUUGAUUACUGCAACUCUCUAUAUGCAGGCCGGGGUCAGUCAUCACUGCGCCACCUACAGGUUGUGCAGAACUGCACAGCCAGGUUUCUGACUGGGACCAGGAAACGGGACCACAUCAGUCCGGUUCUGGCCUCCCUGCACUGGCUUCCGGUCUGUUAUCGUUCACACUUUAAACUCCUUGUCUUUGUUUACAAUUUAUUCCAGGUUAGUGCUCCCCCCUAUCUGGCCACGCUCCUGAACAGACAUUCCCCAUCACGCGCUCCGUGCUCCUCUGACCAAGGCCUCUCGCUGUCCCUCGUUCUAGGUGUCGUACUAGUGGGGACCGGGCUUUCUCAGUCCUAGCACCGUCAUUCCACCCUCAGUCAGGCUGUCCCCAUCUCUGCCAGCCUUUAAGAGUCGCCUAAAAACCCACCUCCUCCGCUUGGCAUUCCCUGAAUGUGUUUGAGUUAGGCCUUCAUUUAUGUUGAUUUUAAUUCCCUGCUUUCAUCGGUCUCUUUAUCUCUUGUUUUACCCAUUUGUUUUCUACUCUAAUGUUUUUACCUGUUUCUCUCGUGUACCGUGUUCAGCGCCUUGGGCUUCCUGACAGGGUUGCGGAAGGCGCUCUAUAAAUAAAGCUUUGAUUUGAUUUGAUGUUAAAAAUGCCAACUUCACAGCAGAAAUAAACACUUUUACAGCCUGGUUAAUAGGUCUAGUUGUCACAAUACGGGAUGGUAGGACCCAAAAUGCAGGAACCUAAGAUGACUCGAGGCAGGAGGGGAUAUAAGAAAAUAUCCUUUAUUUGGAUGAGCCCAGAACAACAAAAGUAGAUCCAAAGGCAGGGAGCCAAUAAGUCCAAAAAUGUUCAAUAACUAAGCUAGAGACAAAAACACAAAAGACUAGAAAAGACUGAGAUUCAAAAUGCUAGAGACUAGAGAAGGCUUGACAGAAUUACCACAAUGGGCCGACACAAGACAGAGACAAGACAUGGCUUAAAUACACAGGGAGGAGUAAUUAGGGAAAAUGGCAGCAGGUGUGUGGAGCGAGGGCUGGAGUGAAGAUAGGUGAAUAUGAUAAUCUAACUGGGAAAACAGAAACAGAGGAGGGCAAAUACCUUAACACAAAACUAAACAACAAUUAUCUAAAGACAGAGGGAAGGGCUCAAACUAGCUGGAGGAGCACACACACACACACACACACAUUGAGUUGGGGAGGACACGCACGCAUGCACGCACACACACACACACACACACACACACACACACACACACACACACACACACACACACACACACACACACACA
ensembl:lncRNA